rnacentral:rRNA from 1 species
UGGGGAAUUUUGGACAAUGGGGGAAACCCUGAUCCAGCCAUCCCGCGUGUGCGAUGAAGGCCUUCGGGUUGUAAAGCACUUUUGGCAGGAAAGAAACGUCAUGGGUUAAUACCCCGUGAAACUGACGGUACCUGCAGAAUAAGCACCGGCUAACUACGUGCCAGCAGCCGCGGUAAUACAUAGGGUGCAAGCGUUAAUCGGAAUUACUGGGCGUAAAGCGUGCGCAGGCGGUUCGGAAAGAAAGAUGUGAAAUCCCAGAGCUCAACUUUGGAACUGCAUUUUUAACUACCGGGCUAGAGUGUGUCAGAGGGAGGUGGAAUUCCGCGUGUAGCAGUGAAAUGCGUAGAUAUGCGGAGGAACACCGAUGGCGAAGGCAGCCUCCUGGGAUAACACUGACGAUCAUGCACGAAAGCGUGGGGAGCAAACAGG